UCAUUACUCUGGCAGCUUCACUGCCAUGACCUGCUACGGAGUGAGCUACACUGGCUCAGAAGCCACCUCUUCCCAGAAGUCUUCCCCAGACCCAUCAGAAGUCCCACUGAGGGGGCUUUAGUAUGCUUUCUGCUGCUAAUCUACUUCAAUCUUUUCUU